CCUACGGGAGGCAGCAGUGGGGAAUAUUGCACAAUGGGCGAAAGCCUGAUGCAGCGACGCCGCGUGAGGGAUGACGGCCUUCGGGUUGUAAACCUCUUUCAGCAGGGAAGAAGCGCAAGUGACGGUACCUGCAGAAGAAGCACCGGCUAACUACGUGCCAGCAGCCGCGGUAAUACGUAGGGUGCGAGCGUUGUCCGGAAUUAUUGGGCGUAAAGAGCUCGUAGGCGGUCUGUCGCGUCGGAUGUGAAAGCCCGGGNUUAACCCCGGGUCUGCAUUCGAUACGGGCAGACUAGAGUGUGGUAGGGGAGAUCGGAAUUCCUGGUGUAGCGGUGAAAUGCGCAGAUAUCAGGAGGAACACCGGUGGCGAAGGCGGAUCUCUGGGCCAUUACUGACGCUGAGGAGCGAAAGCGUGGGGAGCGAACAGGAUUAGGAUACCCUGGUAGUCCACGCCGUAAACGUUGGGAACUAGGUGUUGGCGACUAUACCACGUCGUCGGUGCCGCNGCGUACGACGAUACGUUACCGUCCGUCGGUAGGUACGGCCGCGACGACGUAACGUACGUAACGUAGUAGUUAGACGUAGUUAGAGAGCGACGACGACGACGACGGA
rnacentral:rRNA from 1 species